rnacentral:rRNA from 1 species
CCAAUAGCGUAUAUUAAAGUUGUUGCAGUUAAAAAGCUCGUAGUUGAAUUUCGGGAUCAAUUAGUCGGUCGUGCCUCUGGUACGUACUGGUUUUAUUGGUUCCUCCCUUCUGACGAAACAUGAUGUCAUUAAUUUGGUGUCGUGGAGAAUCAGGACUGUUACCUUGAAAAAAUUAGAGUGUUUAUAGCAGGCUAACGCUUGAAUACAUUAGUAUGGAAUAAUGAAAUAGGACGUUCGACCCUAUUUUGUUGGUUUCUAGGAUCGACGUAAUGAUUAAUAGGGAUAGUUGGGGGCAUUAGUAUUCAAUUGUCAGAGGUGAAAUUCUUGGAUUUAUUGAAGACUAACUACUGCGAAAGCAUUUGCCAAGGAUGUUUUCAUUAAUCAAGAACGAAAGUCAGAGGUUCGAAGACGAUCAGAUACCGUCGUAGUUCUGACCAUAAACGAUGUCGACUAGCGAUCCGCGGUCGUUGUUCAUAUGACCUCGCGGGCAGCCUUCG